GUGCCUUCGGGAACUCUGAGACAGGUGCUGCAUGGCUGUCGUCAGCUCGUGUUGUGAAAUGUUGGGUUAAGUCCCGCAACGAGCGCAACCCUUAUCCUUUGUUGCCAGCGAUUCGGUCGGGAACUCAAAGGAGACUGCCNGUGAUAAACNGGAGGAAGGUGGGGAUGACGUCAAGUCAUCAUGGCCCUUACGAGUAGGGCUACACACGUGCUACAAUGGCNUAUACAAAGAGAAGCGACCUCGCGAGAGCAAGCGGACCUCAUAAAGUAUGUCGUAGUCCGGAUUGGAGUCUGCAACUCGNCUCCA
rnacentral:rRNA from 1 species